rnacentral:rRNA from 1 species
UGGGGAAUAUUGGGCAAUGGGCGCAAGCCUGACCCAGCCAUGCCGCGUGAGUGACGAAGGCCUUAGGGUUGUAAAGCUCUUUUGGCGGGGACGAUAAUGACGGUACCCGCAGAAUAAGCCCCGGCUAACUUCGUGCCAGCAGCCGCGGUAAUACGAAGGGGGCUAGCGUUGUUCGGAAUCACUGGGCGUAAAGCGCACGUAGGCGGACUUUCAAGUCAGGGGUGAAAUCCCGGGGCUCAACCUUGGAACUGCCUUUGAUACUGUUGGUCUCGAGUCCGGAAGAGGUGGGUGGAAUUCCGGGUGUAGUGGUGAAAUGCGUAGAUAUCCGGAGGAACACCAGUGGCGAAAGCGGCUUCCUGGACUGUAACUGACGCUCAGACGCGAAAGCUAGGGUAGCAAACG